GCACAAGCGGUGGAUGAUGUGGUUUAAUUCGAUGCAACGCGAAAACCUUACCCACCUUUGACAUGUACGGAAUCCUUUAGAGAUAGAGGAGUGCUCGAAAGAGAGCCGUAACACAGGCGCUGCAUGGCUGUCGUCAGCUCGUGUCGUGAGAUGUUGGGUUAAGUCCCGCAACGAGCGCAACCCUUGUCAUUAGUUGCUACAUUCAGUUGGGCACUCUAAUGAGACUGCCGGUGACAAACCGGAGGAAGGUGGGGAUGACGUCAAGUCCUCAUGGCCCUUAUAGGUGGGGCUACACACGUCAUACAAUGGAUGGUACAAAGGGUCGCCAACCCGCGAGGGGGAGCCAAUCCCAUAAAGCCAUUCGUAGUCCGGAUCGCAGUCUGCAACUCGACUGCGUGAAGUCGGAAUCGCUAGUAAUCGUGGAUCAGAAUGUCACGGUGAAUACGUUCCCGGGUCUU
rnacentral:rRNA from 1 species